ACUAAUAAAAUAACAAAAGCAGGUGUGUUAUCGCAUGGGUCGCAGCAGAGCAAUGUUGACCAUUCCUGAAAAAGGAGGCAAGGACAAAGGAAUUUCAGAAAAGGGGCCAGAAGUCAGAAAAGAUCAGAGAGAAGGUAGUCCAGGGAGAGCGAGAAACCAUACCACAAGUUACUCAUUCUAGAAUGAAAUCACGCAAUUUAAUAUUCUCCCUCCUCACAUGUGUUCCUUUACGCAUUCCACUUUCUUCCUCUCUCUACCAUUUGGUUCAAGGGUUCUCUGCCGUUCGGUGCAACUAUGAUCAUCCGUUCGAUGCAAGGUUCCCCUUCCUUCCUUUUUACUUGACAAUCUGCCAUUCAAUCUUUCCUCCCAACUUGUCAUUCUAUCAUUCAGUCCUUCCUCUCGGCUUGACAUUCUACCGUUCGAUUCUUCCUCUCAACAUGAUUUUUUGUCGCUCGAUCCUUCCUUUCAACUUGUCAC
rnacentral:lncRNA from 1 species